AUUACCGCGGCUGCUGGCACGGAGUUAGCCGAUGCUUAUUCUUCAGGUACACGUCAUUUAUUCCUCCCUGAAAAAAGAGGUUUACAACCCAUAGGCAGUCUUCCCUCACGCGGUAUUGCUCCGUCAGGCUUUCGCCCAUUGCGGAAAAUUCCCCACUGCUGCCUCCCGUAGG
rnacentral:rRNA from 1 species